UGGGGAAUCUUGCGCAAUGGGCGAAAGCCUGACGCAGCCAUGCCGCGUGAAUGAUGAAGGUCUUAGGAUUGUAAAAUUCUUUCACCGGGGACGAUAAUGACGGUACCCGGAGAAGAAGCCCCGGCUAACUUCGUGCCAGCAGCCGCGGUAAUACGAAGGGGGCUAGCGUUGCUCGGAAUUACUGGGCGUAAAGGGAGCGUAGGCGGACAUUUAAGUCAGGGGUGAAAUCCCGGGGCUCAACCUCGGAAUUGCCUUUGAUACUGGGUGUCUUGAGUGUGAGAGAGGUAUGUGGAACUCCGAGUGUAGAGGUGAAAUUCGUAGAUAUUCGGAAGAACACCAGUGGCGAAGGCGACAUACUGGCUCAUUACUGACGCUGAGGCUCGAAAGCGUGGGGAGCAAACAGGAUUAGAUACCCUGGUAGUCCACGCCGUAAAAGCGAUGAUUGCUAGUUGUCGGGGAAUUGCAUGCAUUUCGGGUGACGCAGCUACGCAUUAAGCAAUCCGCCUGGGGAGUACGGUCGCAAGAUAAAACUCAAAUGAAUUGACGGGGUCAUAGCUGUUUCCUG
rnacentral:rRNA from 1 species